UAUUAUUUAUUUUAAAAAUAUUAUUCUAGAUUAGUAAUUAGUAUAAAAUAAAAAUUUAAAAAUUUGGCAGUAUUUUAUUAUUAUUAGAGGAUUUUGUUCUAUAAUUGAUAAUACACAAUAAAUUUUACUUAAUUUAAUAAAUUUAUAUAUCGUUGUCAUAAAAAUAUCUUAAAAAAGUAAUUUUUAAAAUUAUUUAUAAGUAAAAAUGUCAAAUCAAGAUAUAGUUUAUAAUUAAGAUAGAAAUGAAAUACAAUAAAUCUAUUUAAAUGAAAAAUUUUAUGAAAUUAAAAUUUAAAAGUGGAUUUAAUAGUAAAUUUAUUUAUAUAUAAAAGUUGAAUUAAUUUUAAAAUGUGUACAUAUUGCCCGUCGCUUUUAUAUUAAAAUAAAAUAA
rnacentral:rRNA from 1 species